AACGUAGGAGACAAACGUUAUCCGGAGUUACUGGGCGUAAAGGGCGUGUAGGUGGUUCGUAAGUCUGGCGUGAAAUUUCUCGGCUUAACCGGAGGCAGGUCGUCGGAUACGUGCGGAACUUGAGGACGGUAGAGGCGUGUGGAAUUCCGGGUGUAGUGGUGAAAUGCGUAGAGAUCCGGAGGAACACCAGUGGCGAAGGCGA
rnacentral:rRNA from 1 species